rnacentral:tRNA from 1 species
AGACUAUUAGCUCAAUCGGGAGAGCACUGGCCUGUCACGCCAGAGGUAGCGAGAUCGAAACUCGUAUAGUCUG